CGGGGUGUAGCGCAGUUGGUAGCGCGCCUGCUUUGGGAGCAGGAUGCCGGGGGUUCGAAUCCCUUCACUCCGACCA
rnacentral:tRNA from 3 species